GGAUCCUCGUGGUCUGCUUUUUUUACCUUUAGCCCUUGUGUGACGUAGUGCUGGAACCUUAGUGAAUUGAUUAGGCGACUCUAAACAAGUAUAAUCCUCGAGGAUUGCCCUCGAGCACUAGCCGCCCUUUGUGGUUGGCGACAUUAUCAUCUUGCGGGAACAUUCGACCUAGCUGGGAAUUAGGCGGCAUAACCCGCAGCCACACCCCGUGACUCACAGGCUAAACGGUAAUGGGCGUUGCUGUCAGGCCUCCCUGCUUCCCCCUCCUCCGCCCCC
rnacentral:rRNA from 1 species